ACUAUACCUAGCCCACCCUCUCCCCAUUACUACUAUCAUGAAUCAACCAAAUAAAACAUUCACCACACGUUUAAAGUAUAGGAGAUAGAAAUUUAAUUACCAGUGGCGCUAUAGAGAAAGUACCGUAAGGGAAAGAUGAAAGAAUCAAUAAAAGUAAAAAAAAGCAAAGCUUACCCCUUGUACCUUUUGCAUAAUGACUUAACUAGCAAUAAUUUAGCAAAGAGACCUUAAGUUAAAAUACCCGAAACCAGACGAGCUACUUACAAGCAGUGACUAGGACAAACUCAUCUAUGUGGCAAAAUAGUGAGAAGACUUAUAAGUAGAGGUGAAAAGCCUAACGAGCCUGGUGAUAGCUGGUUGUCCAAAAAAGGAAUCUCAGUUCAACAUUAAACAAUACUAAAUACCCCAUCAAGUUUUAACGUAUGUUUAACUGUUAGUCUAAAAAGGUACAGCUUUUUAGAAACGGAUACAACCUUUACUAGAGAGUAACAUAAAACUCAAACCAUAGUUGGCUUAAAAGCAGCCACCAAUUAAGAAAGCGUUCAAGCUCAACAACAAAAACAAGUUUUAAUCCCAACAAUAGAUAAAACAACUCCUAGCUUGAUUAUUGGACUAAUCUAUUUAACUAUAGAAGCAAUACUGUUAAUAUGAGUAACAAGAAAAAUUUUCUCCUCGCACAAGCUUACAUCAGUAACUGAUACUAUACUGAUAAUUAACAGUUAAUAAAUACAACCCAACACUAAAUUAUUUAUUAAAUACACUGUUAACCCAACACAGGCGUGCACUAAGGAAAGAUUAAAAAAAGUAAAAGGAACUCGGCAAGCACAAACCCCGCCUGUUUACCAAAAACAUCACCUCUAGCAUAACUAGUAUUAGAGGCACUGCCUGCCCAGUGACUUAAUCGUUAAACGGCCGCGGUAUUUUGACCGUGCAAAGGUAGCAUAAUCACUUGUUCUCUAAAUAAGGACUUGUAUGAAUGGCCACACGAGGGUUUUACUGUCUCUUACUUUUAAUCAGUGAAAUUGACCUCCCCGUGAAGAGGCGGGGAUAAUAAAAUAAGACGAGAAGACCCUAUGGAGCUUUAAUUAAUCAACCCAAAAAUCACAAAACAGUACCACCUAAGGGAUAACAAAAUUUUAUAUGGGUUGACAAUUUCGGUUGGGGUGACCUCGGAGCACAAAAAACCCUCCGAGUGAUUAAAACCUAGGCCUACUGGCCAAAGUGUAGUAUCACUUAUUGAUCCAAGUUUUUGAUCAACGGAACAAGUUACCCUAGGGAUAACAGCGCAAUCCUAUUCUAGAGUCCAUAUCGACAAUAGGGUUUACGACCUCGAUGUUGGAUCAGGACAUCCUAAUGGUGCAGCAGCUAUUAAGGGUUCGUUUGUUCAACGAUUAAAGUCCUACGUGAUCUGAGUUCAGACCGGAGUAAUCCAGGUCGGUUUCUAUCUAUUACGCAUUUCUCCUAGUACGAAAGGACAAGA
rnacentral:rRNA from 1 species